rnacentral:rRNA from 1 species
GAUGAACGCUGGCGGCGUGCCUAAUACAUGCAAGUCGAGCGAACAGACGAGGAGCUUGCUCCUUUGACGUUAGCGGCGGACGGGUGAGUAACACGUAGGUAACCUACCUAUAAGACUGGGAUAACUUCGGGAAACCGGAGCUAAUACCGGAUAAUAUUUCGAACCGCAUGGUUCGAUAGUGAAAGAUGGCUUUGCUAUCACUUAUAGAUGGACCUGCGCCGUAUUAGCUAGUUGGUAAGGUAACGGCUUACCAAGGCAACGAUACGUAGCCGACCUGAGAGGGUGAUCGGCCACACUGGAACUGAGACACGGUCCAGACUCCUACGGGAGGCAGCAGUAGGGAAUCUUCCGCAAUGGGCGAAAGCCUGACGGAGCAACGCCGCGUGAGUGAUGAAGGUCUUCGGAUCGUAAAACUCUGUUAUUAGGGAAGAACAAAUGUGUAAGUAACUGUGCACGUCUUGACGGUACCUAAUCAGAAAGCCACGGCUAACUACGUG